UCAGACGAUGCGUCAUGCAUAUCAAUAAGCGGAGGAAAAGAAACUAACAAGGAUUCCCCUAGUAACGGCGAGUGAAGCGGGAAGAGCUCAAAUUUGAAAUCUUAAAGGGUUUCCCUUUACGAAUUGUAGUUUGAAAGAAGUGUUUUCUGUUGAGGUUUUGGUAAAAGUUCUUUGGAAUAGGACAUCAUAGAGGGUGAGAAUCCCGUAUUUGACCUUUACUUUCAACUUUGUGAUACACUUUCAAAGAGUCGGAUUGUUUGGGAAUGCAGUCCAAAAUGGGUGGUAAAUUUCAUCUAAAGCUAAAUAUUGGCGAGAGACCGAUAGCGAACAAGUACCGUGAGGGAAAGAUGAAAAGAACUUUGAAAAGAGAGUUAAACAGUACGUGAAAUUGUCAAAAGGGAAGCGUUUGACACCAGUGUUGUUUUUCUGAAAAUCAAUUAAAGAACUGUUUAUGCUAAGUUGUUUAGACUUUAUCAGCUAUCUGUUUAGUUUUGAGCUUUUCUUUAAUGCACUUUUCAGUUAACAAGUCAACAUCAAUUUCUUUUGCUGUAAAAAGGCUUGAGGAAGGCGGCUUGAGAUUCGUCUUAAGUGUUUAUAGCCUCUUGCCUAUGCAGUCGGAGAGAUUGAGGUCUGCAGCGUAGAUCCUUCGGGGCUAAAUGCAUUUGUGCUAAGUUAUAGCAUUUCAUAGACAACUUGUUGACUAUGAUUUGUCUUGUAGCUUACUCGCUUAUGUUAUUUUACCUACGCUUAGGAUGUUGAAUCUGUGCGAGACUAC
rnacentral:rRNA from 1 species